UUCAAAGACGCUGGCUUCGGAGAUGUCCCUGACUGCAGCCGCCUCUACAAUGUUCCGGAUGACGAAUUUCUUGAUCGCCUUGUCCUUGGGAACACAGCGGGCGCAGUUAGUACAGCGGAUAGCCUGGACGUGUCCUCGUCCCUUUUUGGCACGCCCAUGGUUCCUUCUCUUCAGAGUCUGUGGAGACAGAGGUUUUAAAACCAAAACAAACACACAAAAACGACGAGAUUUCGAACCGUCUCCAGUCAGCAAACCAGUGAACCCAGCACAAAAAGAGGUAGAGCCCUACCAGACCCAGCAGGGUGGGCACCAGGGCCAGGCACACCAGGGGCAGGACGUCGUUCACCAGCUUCUGCCAGGGCGUCUGCUUGGUGAGGGACAACACCUCCACCUCAAACUCCAGCGGGGAGUCACCUGGGCGGGAGUGGGGAGCAGAGACUUACUCAUUCCCUCAAGCGAAUCUACACAUCAAGCCCAGGCAGAAGGACAGGAUUUGUCCUGCAUCAGCCACCUUAUAAAAUGCGCUGUGUGUCUGUGAAUGGCCAGGGUCUGGCUAAGAAUGCAAACCCAAGUUUUAGUGUGGGCUCGAUGCAGUCCUAAAGUUGACAAUGCAAAUUAUUAGCUCUACAACCAGAGGAUCCCGAGAAAGAGAGGAGUCUAUGACCUUGCCAUCCAGCAACUUUCCCUGGGAAAUAGAGAAAGAUAUUAUUACAGUUUAUUGUGGUCCAGCAGAAGUGAAGGCACACUCAAGUUCUAAAUGCAGGUGUGUUGUCUUUAUUCCAAGGUCAUGUUAUUGGGGUGUAUGCAGGAGCUGCCCCAUUUCACUGAACUGGGCUUCAUGAGACUCAAAUUCGGUGUCGUUAUCAUAUGCUCACUUUGAUAAGAACCAAUCAUUGCAGUUUGCUGUGGAGAGCAAAGUGUUCUGAUUGAUUCAGACAAGUCAGCCAUUAACAGCUCAUUGCAGCCUGACCCAUUAUGAAGCCUCACGCUCCCAUGACAACCAUCUGCAGUCAUAACUGUCAGCCCAACAUUCAGCACUUCAAUCAAUCCAUCCUGCAAGUUUAAAUGCAUUUCCAUUAUGGUAACAGGCAGCCGAUAACUAAAACGUGGAUAUUGCUGGUUUAUUUGUAGAAUAAGCGUGUGUGAUGCUGAUAUCCUUAUCUGAAUCGUGAACUAAUUUUCCAAACUGUUUAUUCAGCCAGAAUGUAUGUUGGGUGAAUUAAAGCAAACUGCCCUUUUCAAGGGCAUAAUGGCAGGGUCGUAGAUAGAUAUGAGAUCAUGACCCUCCCAGCCUGGGGUCCAGCACUCUAACCACUAUACAUGUUGCUCACAAAUCUAACUGUGAUGCUCGUUAAUAUGAAUGCUCUGUAGCAAAUUAUUUCAUUGCAUUUUGAUUGCUGGGUUUAA